AAAAAAUGAUGUUAGUGCGUAUAAUGGAUGCCUUGGUACUCAACUCCGAUGAAGGACGCGAUAGGCUGCGAUAAGCUUCGGCGAGCUGUCUUUUAAGCUAUGACCCGGAGAUUUCCGAAUGGGAUAACCCCUUCCGAUUUAUCGGGAGACUCCAUGCUGAAUACAUAGGCAUGCGAGAGGAUACUCGGUGAACUGAAAUAUCUCAGUAGCCGAGGAAAAGAAAUCAAUCUAGAGAUUCCCGUAGUAGUGACGAGCGAACCGGGAACAGGCCAAACCUCCGCCUCGGCGGGGGGGUUGUAGGACUCCAAUAUCGAUCAUAAAAGGUUAGCAGAAUCCUUUGGAAAGCGGAACCAUAGUGGGUAAUAGUCCCGUAUGCGAAAGCUUUUUGUGAUCGUAGGAGUAUCCUGAGUAGGGUCGGACACGUGAAAUCCGGCUUGAAUCUGGGAGGACCACCUUCCAAGCCUAAACAGGUUGAGUAACCGAUAGUGAACCAGUACCGCGAGGGAAAGGUGAAAAGCACCCCGGGCAGGGGGAUGAAAUAGAUUCUGAAAUUAUACGCACACAAAGAAUCGGAGCCCCGAGAGCAAUCGAGGGGUGACGGUGUACUUUUUGUAGAACGGGCCAACGAGUUAGCUGUAUGGCGCAAGGCUAAGGGAGUAAUACCCGGAGCCGUAGUGAAAGCGAGGGUUAAUAGCCCGCUUAAGUGUCAUGCACUAGACCCGAAACCGGGUGAGCUUACCAUGUCCAGGCUGAAGUCUCGAGAAAUCGA
rnacentral:rRNA from 1 species